UUUUGUUCAGUUUGGAAAAAACAACGCAGGAAAUGUACUGUGGGUGCUCACCUUAAUUUAUGGAGAGCUAUAUGAGACAGGAGGUUUCUUUUUACCAACUUGGAAGAAAAUCAUGAAGACCUCCAAACUAAUUCAGGCUCUCACACGAUUCCUUAUCAAUAGGCUACUCUUAAUACCGAUUUCUU
rnacentral:lncRNA from 1 species